GGCAAUCAGACCUCAGGCGGUGGUGAGCACUAAGUGAGGUGACAUAACGCACUCCACACAGAAUGGACACUCGCAUGAUCGCUGUUAUUAUUAUUAAUCCUGCCUUUGGUGGCAGGGGAGACUUCAGAAAGGUCUGUGGAUAUUUUCACUGGCUCAGAAAAUCUGGGAAGUCGGAGUGGCCCAAGAGCGGUGAGAAUCUGCUGGUGACCUUCAACUCACAUAGUGUUUCUGCUAGAAAUCCAGAGGGAAUUGGAAGUUGGGCCAGUUGAGCAGACUCAAGCAAAUUGGUAGAUUGAGCCCAGUAGAGCAGAGGUAUUUGAGGCUGCCAAAACCCAGCAAGUUGAGGCCUCACGCUCAGGGAAACUUCUGGGGGACAAGGAGGAGGGGCGUCAGUUCAGACUUUGGUUGAGUAAUUGCACAUUUCUAAUUGGGCCUAAGGCUUGCCUGGGGGCAGGAUGGCUCUCCGAGCCCAGCUUGGCUGCCGGCCUCCUUCUCUGAGAGCCUGAAAAAAAAUCGAAGCGUCCUGGGCUCCCCUUGACCCCCGCGCGGAGCAGAGAUGAAGCGUCAUUCCAGCACGAGUUGGGGACACGGGGGACACACCGACAGCAGUCGUUGCAGGCCAAGUGCUGUAGUAUGUGGUAGCAGUCUACCCUCCCCUGGGAAGACUUCCAGUGGCAAAGUUCAUGCGAACUCCCUUGCAGCUCGGCCCGUCUUUGUCUUUGACGUGAAGGAGGAGAGGGAGUUAAAUCACGAGUCCCAGCCAACAGGCUGUGUGCAAGGACUGCGUGACGAGGAGGAGCACAGCAUGGCCAGCGUGGCUGGAGCACGAAGUAUGGGGGCAGGGCAGAGGCCAGCCCCCCACCGCCUGUGGAUCCUGCCAGACACAGUGGGGGAAAUGGAAGGCCUGAAACGCGGGGUGGUAGAGUGGGGGCUCUAGAACACCAUCAGAUUUGCAAUUUUGAAAAGCCUAUUCCGGUCAGUGCCGGGACAGCAUGGACUGGAGCGGGUCCAGAGUGGACACAGGAAGACCAGCGGGGAGGGUACUGACGUCGGCUGAUGAACACAGUCUGAGGCCUAUUCAUGCUCUUCUGUGUCCUUUUGUGAACGCAGACGCGUACUGUAUAGACGUGCGGACUGGAGCCGACUUGUUCUUGUGCUGUUUAAUCUGACUCAUCUCCUUUGUAAACAGUAAGGUUAUUGAGGGCGGAGAUUCAGCGUUUGUAUUUUUUCCUGUGCUGUAACUCCCCCUGACACCAGGAGCACAAUGGGUAUUGAGACUGUGACUACGGAAAGUCACCCCGUGGGGCUGCCUGAAGCAGCCCGAAGUCACAUUUCUCGACACAGUGAUAUCGAUAAUUAGUGCUUUUGGUUUCUAGACAUUUGGAUGGGGGAUUUGAUCAUGGCAAAGAAAAAGCUGGGUAGCUAAACGCUUACUACUCAAAGCGUGGUCUGUGGACCAGCAGCAUCAGCAGCACCUGGAAGCUUGUAAGAAAUAAAAAAUCUCAAAUAAAUAAAUAAAUAAAUAAA
rnacentral:lncRNA from 1 species